UACGAAGGGGGCUAGCGUUGCUCGGAAUUACUGGGCGUAAAGGGCGCGUAGGCGGAUGUCUAAGUUGGGGGUGAAAUCCCGGGGCUCAACCUCGGAACCGCCUUCAAUACUGGAUAUCUUGAGUUCGGGAGAGGUGAGUGGAAUGCCGAGUGUAGAGGUGAAAUUCGUAGAUAUUGGGAAGAACACCGGUGGCGAAGGCGGCUCACUGGCUCGUAACUGACGCUCAUGCACGACAGCGUGGGGAUCAAACAGG
rnacentral:rRNA from 1 species